GACGAACGCUGGCGGCGUGCUUAACACAUGCAAGUCGAACGGAAAGGCCCUGCUUUUGUGGGGUGCUCGAGUGGCGAACGGGUGAGUAACACGUGAGUAACCUGCCCUUGACUUUGGGAUAACUUCAGGAAACUGGGGCUAAUACCGGAUAGGAGCUCCUGCUGCAUGGUGGGGGUUGGAAAGUUUCGGCGGUUGGGGAUGGACUCGCGGCUUAUCAGCUUGUUGGUGGGGUAGUGGCUUACCAAGGCUUUGACGGGUAGCCGGCCUGAGAGGGUGACCGGCCGCAGUGGGACUGAGAUACGGCCCAGACUCCUACGGGAGGCAGCAGUGGGGAAUAUUGCACAAUGGGCGGAAGCCUGAUGCAGCAACGCCGCGUGCGGGAUGACGGCCUUCGGGUUGUAAACCGCUUUCGCCUGUGACGAAGCGUGAGUGACGGUAAUGGGUAAAGAAGCACCGGCUAACUACGUG
rnacentral:rRNA from 1 species